GCCAUGGACGAGUUCUACCGGUAUGCGAAUUGCAAAGGAUCAAGGCAAUCUGAUGCUGCCAGGUGUGCAGUUUCUCCAGCACUUUGUUAUCAAGAAAGGUCAUCUCGCCUGUACAUUAACUUUGUUUCUCACCAUAUGUGCUGCCUGACCUGCUUCAGAUUUUUAAAAAACUUUUUGUAAAGCUUUUCAGAUAAAUUGAUAAAAUGUUUGCAAAGAACUGUGACAUGUUAGAGAUUAAAUAAACUACUGAAGAUGAUUAUAA